rfam:Picea glauca, whole genome shotgun sequence.
ACAUGCCUACAACUUAGCGUUAAUGCACCAGAUCCCAUUAGAACUCUGCAGUUAAGCGCACACAAGCUAGAGUAGUAUUGGGAUGGGUGACCACCCGGGAAAUCCUAGUAUUUUAAAUGUC